rnacentral:rRNA from 1 species
GACGCAUUUAUUAGAUAAAAAGCCAGUUCAUGCUUUUACAGUAUGAAAAUUGGUGAUUUAUAAUAACUUAGCAAAUCGCAAAGUGAAAACAGGCGAUAAAUCAUUCAAGUUUCUGACCUAUCAGCUUUCGACGGUAUGGUAUUGGCUUACCGUGGCAGUGACGGUUAACGGGGGAUUAGGGUUCGAUUCCGGAGAGGGAGCCUGAGAAACGGCUACCACAUCUAAGGAAGGCAGCAGGCGCGCAAAUUACCCAAUUCUAACAGUUUGAGAGAGGUAGUAACAAGAAAUAACAAUACAAGGCAGUUAAAAUGCUUUGUAAUUGGAAUGAUAGAAAUUUAAACCCUUUUUAAAGUAUCAAUUGGAGGGCAAGUCUGGUGCCAGCAGCCGCGGUAAUUCCAGCUCCAAUAGCGUAUAUUAAAAUUGUUGCAGUUAAAAAGCUCGUAGUUGAAGUUCUGCUGAAAGUAACCGGUCUGCUUUUAAUAAAAGUGGUAUCUUGGUAUGUAUUUAGCAAUGAUGUCCUUUGAAGUGUUUUUUACUUUAUUGUAAUAAAGCAUAUUCAGGACUUUUACUUUGAGAAAAUUAGAGUGUUUCUAGCAGGCUGACGCUUUGAAUACUGCAGC